CAGGAGGGCCUGCUGUACUGCGAUCCAUGGGGUCACAAAGAGUCGGCCACGACUAAAUGACAACACACUUCACUCACACAUAUAAAUAAAGAAUAUGGUAACACAUUUUACAAGAGGCUUUGCCUGCAAACCAGUCACUCAUAUUUUUGUUACUGCAAAGAGCUUUCAAGCACAUUUCUCAGCCAAAUGGGGCACAUCAUAAAGCCUGAAGAAUGGAAAGGACUGCAAUUCUGUAAAAUACUGAAACGGACAACAAAAAUGUGUUGGAUUAUGCUUUUCAAUUGACUUUAAUCAUUAUAUGACCUUUGCAAUAAAUAACCUUUUCAAUUUGA